AUGCAUGGUGGGGAUACUUCAUAAGUAAUUCUUUAAAUCUUUCCCAUGCCUUAUAAAUGGGCCUCCCCAUCUAAUUGUCUAAAUGAAUUGAUAUCAUUUCUAAGCUU